rnacentral:rRNA from 1 species
GGCGAACGCUGGCGGCGUGCUUAACACAUGCAAGUCGAACGAUGAACCGGUUUCGGCCGGGGAUUAGUGGCGAACGGGUGAGUAACACGUGGGCAAUCUGCCCUGCACUCUGGGAUAAGCCCGGGAAACUGGGUCUAAUACCGGAUACGACACUCCGAGGCAUCUUGGGGUGUGGAAAGUUCCGGCGGUGCAGGAUGAGCCCGCGGCCUAUCAGCUUGUUGGUGGGGUAAUGGCCUACCAAGGCGACGACGGGUAGCCGGCCUGAGAGGGUGACCGGCCACACUGGGACUGAGACACGGCCCAGACCCCUACGGGAGGCAGCAGUGGGGAAUAUUGCACAAUGGGCGAAAGCCUGAUGCAGCGACGCCGCGUGAGGGAUGACGGCCUUCGGGUGGUAAACCUCUUUCAGCAGGGAAGAAGCGAAAGUGACGGGACCUGCAGAAGAAGCACCGGCUAACUACGU